CUGGCCCUGAAUCAAGGCCAGCAGUUUCCUGAAGCUGUUGCUUUCAAGCAGGAGCCUAAAGAGAUGUCUUUCUAUGGUCUGUUGGCCAUUUCAGAACUUGGGAAAUGGAAUUUCCCAAUUCCUUAGAAACAGUUUACU
ensembl:snoRNA